rnacentral:rRNA from 1 species
UGGGGAAUUUUGGACAAUGGGGGAAACCCUGAUCCAGCCAUCCCGCGUGUGCGAUGAAGGCCUUCGGGUUGUAAAGCACUUUUGGCAGGAAAGAAACGUCGCGGGUUAAUACCCCGCGGAACUGACGGUACCUGCAGAAUAAGCACCGGCUAACUACGUGCCAGCAGCCGCGGUAAUACGUAGGGUGCAAGCGUUAAUCGGAAUUACUGGGCGUAAAGCGUGCGCAGGCGGUUCGGAAAGAAAGAUGUGAAAUCCCAGAGCUUAACUUUGGAACUGCAUUUUUUGAACUACCGGGCUAGAGUGUGUCAGAGGGAGGUGGAAUUCCGCGUGUAGCAGUGAAAUGCGUAGAUAUGCGGAGGAACACCGAUGGCGAAGGCAGCCUCCUGGGAUAACACUGACGCUCAUGCACGAAAGCGUGGGGAGCAAACAGGAUUAGAUACCCUGGUAGUCCACGCCCUAAACGAUGUCAACUAGCUGUUGGGGUCUUCGGACCUUGGUAGCGCAGCUAACGCGUGAAGUUGACCGCCUGGGGAGUACGGUCGCAAGAUUAAAACUUAAAUGAAUUGACGGGGUCAUAGCUG